UAAAGAGUAUCUCAAAGUUUCUC
rnacentral:snRNA from 1 species